rnacentral:rRNA from 1 species
GACGAACUGUGCAAACGUUAUUCGGAAUCACUGGGCUUAAAGGGUGCGUAGGCGGUCUUUUAAGUAGGGUGUGAAAGCCCCCGGCUCAACCGGGGAACUGCGCCCUAAACUAGAAGGCUUGAGUGAGGUAGGGGUGUGUGGAACUUCCAGUGGAGCGGUGAAAUGUGUUGAUAUUGGAAGGAACGCCGGUGGCGAAAGCGACACACUGGACCUUGUCUGACGCUGAGGCACGAAAGCCAGGGGAGCAAACGGGAUUAGAAACCCCCGUAGUCC